rnacentral:lncRNA from 1 species
CGCUAGAGCCCCCCCAAGGCGGCCAUCUUGAUUAAGGGCAGAGGGCACCGGUAUCCCGCUGGGAGACUUUGGGAAGUGACAAGGGCUUGCCUCUCCUGCCUCAAUCUCCGCAUCUGGAUGAAGGGCUUGGACCAGAACCCCUCCAAGCCCCUUCCCUGGACCACUCUGUGGGAGAAGCCGGCAGGGGCUUCGGGAUUGGACAGAGCGUGAAGGGAGCACCGCCAGGGCACCGGCCCACAUUAAAUGUCUUCAUCCGAGCAUUCAGCAAGGGUUUAUUGAGCACCUGCUAUGCCCCAGGCCCUGUUCUAGCUUCUGUGGACACAGCCGUGCGCGACACAAGAUUCCCACCUGGGGAGCCACAGUGGGAGAAGGUCAUGGAAAAGAGAAUGUACGGGACUGGGGGAUGUCAGAUGUUAUCCAAGGUGUCAAGAAACGAAACAGAAGGGAAAGGGG